CCUACGGGUGGCAGCAGUGGGGAAUAUUGCGCAAUGGGCGAAAGCCUGACGCAGCGACGCCGCGUGAGGGAUGAAGGUCUUCGGAUCGUAAACCUCUGUCAGCAGGGAAGAACGGUCACUGUGCUAAUCAGCAGUGAAUUGACGGUACCUGCAAAGGAAGCACCGGCUAACUCCGUGCCAGCAGCCGCGGUAAUACGGAGGGUGCGAGCGUUAAUCGGAAUUACUGGGCGUAAAGCGCUCGUAGGCGGUAUGUCAAGUCAAGGGGGAAAUCCCCGCGCGCAACGUGGGAACUGCCUUUGAACCUGGCAAACUGGAGUGUGUGAGAGGAUAGUGGAAUUCCAGGUGUAGGAGUGAAAUCCGUAGAUAUCUGGAGGAACAUCAGUGGCGAAGGCGACUAUCUGGCACAUAACUGACGCUGAGGAGCGAAAGCGUGGGUAGCAAACAGGAUUGGAUACCCCUGUAGUC
rnacentral:rRNA from 1 species